GUCACUUCCACAGCAUCUACUAGUUCAACUUCUACAGUUAUUUUACAACCAGUCCCUUACACAACAUGUACUAGUUCUACUUCUACAGUUUCUUUUCACAUGGUCACUUCCACAACACCUAGUCCCACUACUACAGUUCUUUUACAACCAGUCACUUCCGCAACAUCUACUAGUUCUACUUCUUUAGUUUCUUUAAAGCCAGUCACCUCCGCAAAAUCUUCUAGUUCUACUUCUACAG